AGGUAACGGCUCACCAAGCCAAUGACGGGUAUCUGGUUUGAGAGGAUGAUCAGACACACUGGAACUGAGACACGGUCCAGACUCCUACGGGAGGCAGCAGUGAGGAAUAUUGCACAAUGGAGGAAACUCUGAUGCAGCAACGCCGCGUGGAGGAUGACGCAUUUCGGUGUGUAAACUCCUUUUAAGAGGGAAGAUUAUGACGGUACCUCUUGAAUAAGCACCGGCUAACUCCGUGCCAGCAGCCGCGGUAAUACGGAGGGUGCAAGCGUUACUCGGAAUCACUGGGCGUAAAGGGUGCGUAGGCUGACUUUUAAGUCAGGCGUGAAAUCCAAUGGCUUAACCAUUGAACUGCGCUUGAAACUGGGAGUCUAGAGUUCAGAAGGGGCAGAUGGAAUUAGUGGUGUAGGGGUAAAAUCCGUAGAUAUCACUAGGAAUAUCAAAAGCGAAGGCGAUCUGCUGGGAUGAUACUGACGCUGAGGCACGAAAGCGUGGGGAGCAAACAGGAUUAGAUACCCUGGUAGUCCACGCCCUAAACGAUGAAUGCUAGUCGUCGGGGAGCUCGUCUCUUCGGUGAUGCACUUAACAGAUUAAGCAUUCCGCCUGGGGAGUACGGUCGCAAGAUUAAAACUCAAAGGAAUAGACGGGGACCCGCACAAGUGGUGGAGCAUGUGGUUUAAUUCGAAGAUACACGAAGAACCUUACCUGGCCUUGACAUGGUAGGAACCCUGUAGAGAUACGGGGGUGCUGGCUUGCUAGAGCCUACACACAGGUGCUGCACGGCUGUCGUCAGCUCGUGUCGUGAGAUGUUGGGUUAAGUCCCGCAACGAGCGCAACCCUCGUCCUUAGUUGCUAACGGUUCGGCCGAGCACUCUAAGGAGACUGCCUUCGCAAGGAGGAGGAAGGUGAGGACGACGUCAAGUCAUCAUGGCCCUUACGGCCAGGGCUACACACGUGCUACAAUGGGGCGUACAGAGAGCUGCGAUACCGCGAGGUGGAGCCAAUCUCUUAAAGCGUCUCUCAGUUCGGAUUGUUCUCUGCAACUCGAGAACAUGAAGCUGGAAUCACUAGUAAUCGCAGAUCAGCUAUGCUGCGGUGAAUACGUUCCCGGGUCUUGUACUCACCGCCCGUCACACCAUGGGAGUUGAUUUCACCCGAAAUCGGGAUGC
rnacentral:rRNA from 1 species